rnacentral:rRNA from 1 species
GAUGAACGCUGGCGGCGUGCCUAAUACAUGCAAGUCGAGCGAAUUGAUUUGAAGCUUGCUUCUAUGACGUUAGCGGCGGACGGGUGAGUAACACGUGGGCAACCUGCCUGUAAGACUGGGAUAACUUCGGGAAACCGAAGCUAAUACCGGAUAGGAUCUUCUCCCUCAUGGGAGAUGAUUGAAAGAUGGUUUCGGCUAUCACUUACAGAUGGGCCCGCGGUGCAUUAGCUAGUUGGUGAGGUAACGGCUCACCAAGGCAACGAUGCAUAGCCGACCUGAGAGGGUGAUCGGCCACACUGGGACUGAGACACGGCCCAGACUCCUACGGGAGGCAGCAGUAGGGAAUCUUCCGCAAUGGACGAAAGUCUGACGGAGCAACGCCGCGUGAGUGAUGAAGGCUUUCGGGUCGUAAAACUCUGUUGUUAGGGAAGAACAAGUACGAGAGUAACUGCUCGUACCUUGACGGUACCUAACCAGAAAGCCACGGCUAACUACGUGCCAGCAGCCGCCGUAACAC